rnacentral:rRNA from 1 species
GAUGAACGCUAGCGGCAGGCCUAACACAUGCAAGUCGAGGGGGAAGUUACUUUCGGGUGACUGAGACCGGCGUACGGGUGCGUAACGCGUAUACAAUCUGCCUUUCACUGGGGAUAGCCCGAAGAAAUUUGGAUUAAUACCCCAUAGUAUAUAGGGACGGCAUCGUUUUUAUAUUAAAGCUUAGGUGGUGAAAGAUGAGUAUGCGUUCUAUUAGCUAGUUGGAGAGGUAACGGCUCCCCAAGGCGAUGAUAGAUAGGGGUUCUGGGAGGGAUGUCCCCCACACUGGUACUGAGAUACGGACCAGACUCCUACGGGAGGCAGCAGUGAGGAAUAUUGGACAAUGGUCGGAAGACUGAUCCAGCCAUGCCGCGUGCAGGAUGAAGGUCUUAUGGAUUGUAAACUGCUUUUGUAAGGGAAGAAUAAGGGCUACGCGUAGUUUGAUGACGGUACCUUACGAAUAAGCAUCGGCUAACUCCGUG